rnacentral:rRNA from 1 species
UUGAACGCUGGCGGCAUGCUUUACACAUGCAAGUCGGACGGCAGCACAGAGAAGCUUGCUUCUUGGGUGGCGAGUGGCGAACGGGUGAGUAAUAUAUCGGAACGUACCGAGUAAUGGGGGAUAACUAAUCGAAAGAUUAGCUAAUACCGCAUAUUCUCUGAGGAGGAAAGCAGGGGACCUUCGGGCCUUGCGUUAUUCGAGCGGCCGAUAUCUGAUUAGCUAGUUGGUGGGGUAAAGGCCUACCAAGGCGACGAUCAGUAGCGGGUCUGAGAGGAUGAUCCGCCACACUGGGACUGAGACACGGCCCAGACUCCUACGGGAGGCAGCAGUGGGGAAUUUUGGACAAAGGGCGCAAGCCUGAUCCAGCCAUGCCGCGUGUCUGAAGAAGGCCUUCGGGUUGUAAAGGACUUUUGUCAGGGAAGAAAAGGCUGUUGCUAAUAUCGACAGCUGAUGACGGUACCUGAAGAAUAAGCACCGGCUAACUACGUG